AGACCCGAAACCCGGUGAUCUAGCCAUGGGCAGGUUGAAGGUUGGGUAACACUAACUGGAGGACCGAACCGACUAAUGUUGAAAAAUUAGCGGAUGACCUGUGGCUGGGGGUGAAAGGCCAAUCAAACCGGGAGAUAGCUGGUUCUCCCCGAAAGCUAUUUAGGUAGCGCCUCGUGAAUUCAUCUCCGGGGGUAGAGCACUGUUUCGGCUAGGGGGCCAUCCCGGCUUACCAACCCGAUGCAAACUGCGAAUACCGGAGAAUGUUAUCACGGGAGACACACGGCGGGUGCUAACGUCCGUCGUGAAGAGGGAAACAACCCAGACCGCCAGCUAAGGUCCCAAAGUCAUGGUUAAGUGGGAAACGAUGUGGGAAGGCCCAGACAGCCAGGAUGUUGGCUUAGAAGCAGCCAUCAUUUAAAGAAAGCGUAAUAGCUCACUGGUCGAGUCGGCCUGCGCGGAAGAUGUAACGGGGCUAAACCAUGCACCGAAGCUGCGGCAGCGAACGUAUCACUUAAAGCGAUUCAGCGGGUUACGAUUGACGGAGCGAAGCGACGUCAAAGCGUAUACAAAGUCGAGUCGGUUUAAGGAUACGUUCGUUGGGUAGGGGAGCGUUCUGUAAGCCUGUGAAGGUGGCCUGUGAGGGUUGCUGGAGGUAUCAGAAGUGCGAAUGCUGACAUAAGUAACGAUAAAGCGGGUGAAAAGCCCGC
rnacentral:rRNA from 1 species